AUUGAACGCUGGCGGCAGGCCUAACACAUGCAAGUCGAACGGUAACAGGAAGAAGCUUGCUUCUUUGCUGACGAGUGGCGGACGGGUGAGUAAUGUCUGGGAAACUGCCUGAUGGAGGGGGAUAACUACUGGAAACGGUAGCUAAUACCGCAUAACGUCGCAAGACCAAAAAGGGGGACCUUCGGGCCUCUUGCCAUCGGAUGUGCCCAGAUGGGAUUAGCUAGUAGGUGGGGUAACGGCUCACGUAGGCGACGAUCCCUAGCUGGUCUGAGAGGAUGACCAGCCACACUGGAACUGAGACACGGUCCAGACUCCUACGGGAGGCAGCAGUGGGGAAUAUUGCACAAUGGGCGCAAGCCUGAUGCAGCCAUGCCGCGUGUAUGAAGAAGGCC
rnacentral:rRNA from 1 species